UUACUACAACCGUUGUAGUCAGAGAAAUUCAUUUGUGUGGUUUUCAGUAAUUUUUCAAAAAACAAUUGUCACAAGUUGGUUUACUAUGUAUGUGCAAUUAUUGUAUCUCCUUUGGGAUUUAAUUUGUUAUAUUUUAAAAGGCAGCUGAAAUCGUUUGUUCUUCUUCCUAGUGUCUUUUUGGAAGAACUUCACAGAUUUAUUUUUUUUUGUUAGAAAAUCUUAGCAGAAAUGCUCCAGUAGUAAUUCGUGGUUCCCCUAAUCCUACUGAAUGCACUUUGUAGACGGUCCCUAGCAAAAUGCUGUACUAUACUUCCUGCGCUCCCUUUUUUGUUUCGUGGAAAAUGUUUCAAAACUACAAUAAUUAAUGAAUAUAUCAGUCACUAUACAAUGUUGUAGUACAAUCUGUAUAUUCUUCCGAAAAAGAAAAUCUGAGUUUUUGGUGGUGUCGUUUCAAAGAUAUAGGGCAGGCAAAUCCGAAUAUCAAACAAUAUCGAAUAUGAAACCAACGUUACCAUGCACGUUAGCUGCUACGCUUACUAAACAUGAAAAAAUUACUGACAAUUACAUCGAAUAGCCCUAAUCUGAGACGGAGUGAAAGUCUGAAGAUAUUUUUUAUAUUCAUCUGCAUCAUAACAGUUGUUGUGAUACUGGCUAAGUGGGAUCUCCCUUCAAUGUUUGUCUGGGAGUCUGUCCAGAACAGCUCCAGUCCUGUUCAGAGCACAGCCAGUCUAGAGCAUCUCCAAGCCCAGUACUGUAUGGGAGACACCUUAGACGUGCGUGUGGACAUGCGGGACCACAGUGGGAGGCCCAAGACUCAUGGAGGAGACUUCAUAUUGGCCCGGAUUCACUCCCCCAAACUACAGGCCUCCGCCGCAGGAGCCGUCACUGA